CCUCCUCCUUUCAUUGUUGUUCAUAUAUUUAAUUUGCAAUAAAUUUUUUUUUUUGACUCUCAUAUGCACUUCUCAUAGUGCCUCCUCCAUUGCCACCACCUCAGUCAGGAAGGAGUUUCAUUGAUCAAAUUUCACUUUUUCCGAGGGAAGCAAAAGCAAGGGGGUGCCCCUCAUUUCUGUGGUUCCUUGCCUCCUUGUCCAUCCAGGUCCCAUGUUUUCUCUUAGGUGUGACCAGAAUUCGGAAAAUUUCACUGGAGGGUCAUCCAGGGUUUGAUCGUGGUGGGACUUUGUGGUUCCAGAACUUGACUGAAUUCCCUCAUGGUCUUUUAGGCCCCAUCUUUCCAAUAGUGAUAGAAUUGUGAAUUAAUAUUCAUUGGUCAUCUUAUUACUUGUUUGAUAUAUUUUCCAGAUUUCUUUUAGUAAAUCU